rnacentral:pre_miRNA from 13 species
UGUAAACAUCCUUGACUGGAAGCUGGAAGGUGCCGAAGGAGCUUUCAGUCGGAUGUUUACA